AACAAUGUGAUCCUGAGAAAGGGACAAAAGCCUCCUCCCCAUUUCUAACCUUGCUGCUUGGAGACCUCAGGGUGGGUACUUUGGGAGCAUCAGGCAACUCUCGCCGAGUACACUUGGAGUAGUCUCGCUGAUUCAAGCCACAGUAGCCAGGCAGCAGUGGCCCCUAGGGUGGUCACAGGGACCAAAAGGACCAGAGAGGGAAAGCAGAAUGUGGCAGAUUUGGCAUUGUCUUUAGCCAAGAGAAUUUAUCUUAAGCACAAGUGAGACACACUGGAUAUGGCCAGAAAUAACUGAAUAAGAAGAGAAGAACCAGGGACACCUAGACAUGAACAGAUGAAGGCAAGAGUCAGAGAAAUGUGGCUAUUGCCAUCAGUAUGAACCUGUGUGUGCAUAGACAGGGCAAUUUUCAACACAUCCAGAUAAUCGAAGAACUAUGACUCUCAAGAACUGUGAAAGGAUUUUACCCUACUUGCAAGCUAAUAAGUUAGCCUGCCACAGUUUCAUAGAUGCUGGCAGAAGACAUGAGACUACUGGGUCAGAGACAAAGGACUUUAUUACUCA
rnacentral:lncRNA from 10 species